rnacentral:lncRNA from 1 species
UGGACAUGCAACGAAAUAACUAGCAAAGAGACCUUGUUUCAACAUCAAAUAUGUUUCCGUAGGGCCAGAUUCUUGGGCAAAGUUGUUUUAGCGAUCUGGUUGCAACUAAGUAUUGGAGUUGUUGUGCCUUGAAACUAGAAACUGCCUUGAAUUUCUACAUAGGGAAAUGUAAUCUAUUGCUUUCUUACAGGUUCUUUAUUGGAGGAUGACCCAGCUGGCAUGUGUAUCAUUCUACUCUGUGUCCUGCUCCUUCUUCCUGCUUGGAAUGUGGACGUGUCUACAGCUAUAGCAUCACUGCUGCCUUCAUAUCUGGUAUGAGACAGAGUUUAUCAUUCCUACAGGCCACCGAAGGAAGUCAGUGCCUAGGAUUCUGAGAUGCAGCCACACCAUAAAGUUUCAUUACUCAGUUGCAGUAGAGAAAGCCUCAAAGGAACCACUUCUAAUGGAAACUGCCUCAUUUCCUGGUCAAGUCUCACAGCGGAGGUGCUCUGAAGUAGGUGCUCUGAAGUGCUCUGAAGUGAAAAGUUCACUUCAUGAGAAGUUACAAACUAAUUGUAA